GGAAGUGAAAGUCGUAACAAGGUCUCCGUAGGUGAACCUGCGGAGGGAUCAUUACAGAGUUCAUGCCCUACCGGGUAGAUCUCCCACCCUAUGUUAUUAUUACUUUGUUGCUUUGGCGGGCCGUUAGGCUCCGGCCCGACUACCGGCCCCGGCUGGUAAGCGCCCGCCAGAGGACCCAAAACCCUGAAUAUUAGUGUCGUCUGAGUACUAUAUAAUAGUUAAAACUUUCAACAACGGAUCUCUUGGUUCUG
rnacentral:misc_RNA from 1 species